UAGGGAAUCUUCGGCAAUGGACGAAAGUCUGACCGAGCAACGCCGCGUGAGUGAAGAAGGUUUUCGGAUCGUAAAACUCUGUUGUUAGAGAAGAACAAGGACGUUAGUAACUGAACGUCCCCUGACGGUAUCUAACCAGAAAGCCACGGCUAACUACGUGCCAGCAGCCGCGGUAAUACGUAGGUGGCAAGCGUUGUCCGGAUUUAUUGGGCGUAAAGCGAGCGCAGGCGGUUUCUUAAGUCUGAUGUGAAAGCCCCCGGCUCAACCGGGGAGGGUCAUUGGAAACUGGGAGACUUGAGUGCAGAAGAGGAGAGUGGAAUUCCAUGUGUGGCGGUGAAAUGCGUAGAUAUAUGGAGGAACACCAGUGGCGAAGGCGGCUCUCUGGUCUGUAACUGACGCUGAGGCUAGAAAGGGUGGGGAGCAAACAGG
rnacentral:rRNA from 1 species